rnacentral:lncRNA from 1 species
AGUUCGAGCUUCCCAGCUGCUUUGUUUACCUAAUCAAGCCUGGGCAAUGGCGGGCGCCCCUCCCCCAGCCUCGCUGCCGCCUUGCAGUUUGAUCUCAGACUGCCGUGCUAGCAAUCAGCGAGACUCCGUGGGCAUAGGACCCUCCGAGCCAGGUGUGGGAUAUAAUCUCGUGAUGCGCCGUUUUUUUAAGCUGGUCCGAAAAGCGCAAUAUUCGGGUGGGAGUGACCCGAUUUUCCAGGAUGCCCACUGGAUCCAAAGAGAGAAACUCUAUAGAAUUAUGAUCUAGGUUUGACUGACUCCUGGCAACAAGUCCUACCCACCAGCCAAUUUGGAUGAGGCAAAAUUAGAAAAAUCCUGGAUUUGAAGUCAAGAGACUUAUAUUUGAAUAUCCACUCUGGAAAAGUCAGAUAAGUUCUCUUCUCUCUGACAUUCAGUUUUUUAUUUGUUAAAAGAGGGAAACAAUUCUAGGGCUUUCGUGAUAACAAACAAGAUUAUUGUCUGAAAAAAAAAACUUUGUAAAUAGUAAAGUGAUGUAGAAAUGCAG